rnacentral:rRNA from 1 species
UACAGAGGGUGCGAGCGUUGGUCGGGAUUAUUGGGCGUAAAGCGCUUGUAGGCGGCACGUCAAGUCGCGUGUGAAAUCCCCAGGCUUAACCUGGGAAGUGCGCGCGAAACUGACGAGCUUGAGUGCCGGAGAGGGUCGCGGAAUUCCCGGCGUAGAGGUGAAAUUCGUAGAUAUCGGGAGGAACACCAGUGGCGAAGGCGGCGACCUGGACGGACACUGACGCUGAGACGCGAAAGCGUGGGGAGCGAACAGG